rnacentral:rRNA from 1 species
CCUGAUGCAGCAACGCCGCGUGAGGGAUGACGGCCUUCGGGUUGUAAACCUCUUUUAGCAAGGAAGAAGCGAAAGUGACGGUACUUGCAGAAAAAGCGCCGGCUAACUACGUGCCAGCAGCCGCGGUAAUACGUAGGGCGCAAGCGUUAUCCGGAAUUAUUGGGCGUAAAGAGCUCGUAGGCGGUUUGUCGCGUCUGCUGUGAAAUCCCGAGGCUCAACCUCGGGCCUGCAGUGGGUACGGGCAGACUAGAGUGCGGUAGGGGAGAUUGGAAUUCCUGGUGUAGCGGUGGAAUGCGCAGAUAUCAGGAGGAACACCGAUGGCGAAGGCAGAUCUCUGGGCCGUAACUGACGCUGAGGAGCGAAAGGGUGGGGAGCAAACAGGCUUAGAUACCCUGGUAGUCCACCCCGUAAACGUUGGGAACUAGUUGUGGGGUCCUUUCCACGGAUUCCGUGACGCAGCUAACGCAUUAAGUUCCCCGCCUGGGGAGUACGGCCGCAAGGCUAAAACUCAAAGGAAUUGACGGGGACCCGCACAAGCGGCGGAGCAUGCGGAUUAAUUCGAUGCAACGCGAAGAACCUUACCAAGGCUUGACAUACACGAGAACACUCUAGAAAUAGGGGACUCUUUGGACA